CUCAGAGCUGCAGGUAAGUGUGGUGGCCUCCAGCCUCCUCCCGUGUUGGAGGCAGCCCGUUUGCGUCAGUCUGUCCUAGCACAGUGCCAGAAUUGGCCAUGGCCCCGGAUGGCACCUUCUUUAUUCCAGACUCAUCCCUGUAAACACAGCCUCCGGGCUCCUUACCCCUGCGGCUGCGCUUCCACUGUCCUCCAGACUGGCUGCAGAAUUAGUGGCGCCCAAAGCAAAAUACAAAUGCAGGGCUCGCCUUUCCUUUCCACGGCGCAUGGCGGCAAAAUGGCGAUGCAAAUUUCCAAGAAGGGGAAGUUUGUCGCUGAUGGCAUCUUCAAAGCUGAACUGGAUGAGUUCCUCCCUCGGGAGCUGGCUGAAGAUGGCUACUCCGGGGUUGAGGUCCGAGUUACGCCAACCAGGACAGAAAUGAUUAUCUUGGCCACCAGGACGCAGAAUGUUCUUGGUGAGAAGGGCCGGCGGAUCGGGAAUUGACUGCUGUGCUUCAGAAGAGGUGUGGUUUCCCUGAGGGCAGUGUAGCACUUUGUGCCAAAAAGGUGACCACAAGAGGUCUGUGCGCUGUUGCCCAGGCAGAAUCUCUGCGUUUCAAACUCCUAGGAGGCCUCGCUGUGUGGAGGGCCUGCCAUGGUGUGCAUGGACAGUGGGGCCAAAGGCGGUGAGGUCGUGGUAUCUGGGAAACUCCGAGGACAGAGGGCUACAUCCAUGAAGUUUGUGGAUGGCCUGAUGAUUCACAGUGGGGACCCUGUUAACGGCUAUGCUGACACUGCUGUGCACCACGUGCUGUUCAGACAGGGUGUGCUGGGCAUCAAAGUGAAGGUCAUGCUUCCCUGGGACCCAAGGGGUAAGACUGGCCCUAAGAAGCCCCUGCCGGAUCAUGGGAGCAUUGUGGAACCCAAAGAUGAGAUACUGCCCACCACCCCCAUCUCGGAACAGAGAUGUACCCACAGCAUAACAGGGUCCCUUUGGCAGCUCGAUCUGGAGACUGGAUUUUAA